rnacentral:lncRNA from 1 species
UAGUAGGGUGCCCAAUCAACAAAUUUUAUCGAUUUGCCUUAACGGAAUAACAUACGGCUAUAUUUUAUAUCAUUGGAAAGAGGAGAACAAUCCUCAUCGAAAUAGCGUUGUCGUCGCUGUCUACCGUGGUCACGAUUUUUUUAAAUCAGGGUCAAAGGUCAAAGCAAAAUUUCAAGGAAAAUGCACAGUCACAUUUAGAUAGCUUGAUUCUCCUAGAUCUAUGCGUUUGGA